rnacentral:rRNA from 1 species
GACGAACGCUGGCGGCGUGCUUAACACAUGCAAGUCGAACGAAGAGCGAUGGAAGCUUGCUUCUAUCAAUCUUAGUGGCGAACGGGUGAGUAACGCGUAAUCAACCUGCCCUUCAGAGGGGGACAACAGUUGGAAACGACUGCUAAUACCGCAUACGAUCUGACCUCGGCAUCGAGGAUAGAUGAAAGGUGGCCUCUAUUUAUAAGCUAUCACUGAAGGAGGGGAUUGCGUCUGAUUAGCUAGUUGGAGGGGUAACGGCCCACCAAGGCGAUGAUCAGUAGCCGGUCUGAGAGGAUGAACGGCCACAUUGGGACUGAGACACGGCCCAGACUCCUACGGGAGGCAGCAGUGGGGAAUCUUCCGCAAUGGACGAAAGUCUGACGGAGCAACGCCGCGUGAGUGAGGACGGCCUUCGGGUUGUAAAGCUCUGUUAAUCGGGACGAAAGGCCUUCUUGCGAAUAGUUAGAAGGAUUGACGGUACCGGAAUAGAAAGCCACGGCUAACUACGUG